UGGGGAAUAUUGCACAAUGGGCGCAAGCCUGAUGCAGCCAUGCCGCGUGUGUGAAGAAGGCCUUCGGGUUGUAAAGCACUUUCAGCGAGGAGGAAGGUGGUGAGCUUAAUACGCUCAUCAAUUGACGUUACUCGCAGAAGAAGCACCGGCUAACUCCGUGCCAGCAGCCGCGGUAAUACGGAGGGUGCAAGCGUUAAUCGGAAUUACUGGGCGUAAAGCGCACGCAGGCGGUUUGUUAAGUCAGAUGUGAAAUCCCCGGGCUCAACCUGGGAACUGCAUUUGAAACUGGCAAGCUAGAGUCUCGUAGAGGGGGGUAGAAUUCCAGGUGUAGCGGUGAAAUGCGUAGAGAUCUGGAGGAAUACCGGUGGCGAAGGCGGCCCCCUGGACGAAGACUGACGCUCAGGUGCGAAAAGCGUGGGGAGCAAAACAGGAUUAGAUACCCUGGUAGUCCACGCUGUAAAACGAUGUCGAUUUUGGAGGUUGUGCCCUUGAGGCGUGGCUUCCGGAGCUAACGCGUUAAAUCGACCGCCUGGGGAGUACGGCCGCAAGGUUAAAAACUUAAAUGAAUUGACGGGGUCAUAGCUGUUUCCU
rnacentral:rRNA from 1 species